rnacentral:sRNA from 1 species
GUUUGCACUCAUCGGGGAAGGGUGAGAACCUUCGACUAAGGUUCGAUUCGAGCGAAAGCGAGAGAACGUUGCCACAGGCAACGGCCCGAAGAGUGAGGA